rnacentral:rRNA from 1 species
CCUACGGGAGGCAGCAGUGGGGAAUAUUGCACAAUGGGGGAAACCCUGAUGCAGCGACGCCGCGUGAGGGAAGAAGUAAUUCGGUAUGUAAACCUCUAUCAGCAGGGAAGAAAAUGACGGUACCUGACUAAGAAGCCCCGGCUAACUACGUGCCAGCAGCCGCGGUAAUACGUCGGGGGCAAGCGUUAUCCGGAUUUACUGGGUGUAAAGGGAGCGUAGGCGGUAUUGCAAGUCAGGAGUGAAAGCCCGGGGCUCAACCCCCGGACUGCUCUUGAAACUGUUAGGCUGGAGUGCAGGAGAGGUAAGUGGAAUUCCUAGUGUAGCGGUGAAAUGCGUAGAUAUUAGGAGGAACACCAGUGGCGAAGGCGGCUUACUGGACUGUAACUGACGCUGAGGCUCGAAAGCGUGGGGAGCAAACAGGAUUAGAUACCCGGGUAGUC